UGAGGGGGAUGAGGAGUGGAGAGGAUCAAUUGGGGGAGAAAGGGGACAUCUGUAAUACUUUCAACAAUAAAGAUAAAUUUUAAAAAAUAAAAUAAAAUAUAUAUAUAUUUUAAAAAGUAAUGCUCUCAGGCAAACUUCGAGAUUUUGUUCAAACCUUGGGUCCACCAGCUCCUCUUUGCUCUGCAGAUGAUGACAUUGAUUGAAGCUCUAUCCCGUGAGGCCUCGAACACCAAAUCCCUGGUCACAGAGUCCAGUCCUCAGCCUAAACGGAAGAAGCAGUCAAAGAUCACUUGUCAAAGAUCUACGCACUGCCCGGGAAAAAAGGAUUGCAAUGGGACCAUUUGGAUCUGACAGCCCAGAUUUCUAGCUGGGUAAAUACCGGAGGCAAGGUUUUUCCAGGGUCAUAUCCUCUUUCUGUGGAAGGAAAGGUGAUUAUUUCUAGGAUGAGCCCUUCUCUUGCUCCAAGACACAGGUAGCAGUGAACCCAUCUUUCACUGAUAUUGUAUAAUCUGUCAUAAUGCUUAUAAAGAAAUAUCUAUCUAA